UGAAUAUAUUAAUGUUUCAUGCGAUUUUCAGGUUUCUCUUCCCAAGUUCUUGCUCAAGGAAAUGAGAUAGGUUUUGCUUCGCAAGUCCCAGCCACCGUGGAAGCUGUCAAGACACCUUACUCAAAGAUUGUCUAUGACGACCAUAACCAUGAGCGUUACCCACCUGGUGACCCCAGCAAGCGGGUGUACGCCAGCAUUUUGAUAGGUUCAUCAAGGACCUAAAGCCUGGUGAUCUUGAAAAAUCUCAGCUUGGAUUAGCUCAUAGCUACAGCAGAGCCAAGGUGAAGUUCAAUGUUAACUGAGUGGAUAACAUGGUUAUUCAAGCUAUUUUCCUCCUUGACACCCUUGACAAGGAUAUCAAUUCCUUUGCCAUGAGAGUCAGGGAAUGGUAUUCGUGGCACUUCCCCGAGCUAGUGAAGAUAGCCAGGAUUUAUCACCAGUUGACCUGAGCAACGUACAGACCUUUGCUCAGAGAGUUAUGGAUCUUGCUGACUACAGGAAGAAGCUAACGUACAGACCUAAUUUGGCAGCUUUGAUUGUAUUUUUAUUUUUGAGCAAUGUCGGUUGCGUUUCACUUUUCAGUUUUACAGGCUGUAAGUUCUGCAAUCACAUGAUUACUUCGAAAAAAUAUCAUUCGAAGUGCA